GAUGAACGCUAGCGGCAGGCUUAACACAUGCAAGUCGAGGGGUAACAGGGAAAAGCUUGCUUUUUUGCUGACGACCGGCGCACGGGUGAGUAACGCGUAUAGAACCUACCUUUUACAGGGGAAUAGCCCAGAGAAAUUUGGAUUAAUGCCCUAUAGUAUUAUUGAGUGGCAUCAUUUAAUAAUUAAACAUUUAUGGGUAAAAGAUGGCUAUGCGUUCUAUUAGCUAGAUGGUAAGGUAACGGCUUACCAUGGCAACGAUAGAUAGGGGUCCUGAGAGGGAGAUCCCCCACACUGGUACUGAGACACGGACCAGACUCCUACGGGAGGCAGCAGUGAGGAAUAUUGGACAAUGGAGGCAACUCUGAUCCAGCCAUGCCGCGUGCAGGAAGACGGCCCUAUGGGUUGUAAACUGCUUUUAUACGGGAAGAAACCCAACUACGUGUAGUUGGCUGACGGUACCGUAAGAAUAAGCACCGGCUAACUCCGUGCCAGCAGCCGCGGUAAUACGGAGGGUGCAAGCGUUAUCCGGAAUCAUUGGGUUUAAAGGGUCCGUAGGCGGGCUAAUAAGUCAGGGGUGAAAUCCAACAGCUUAACUGUUGAACUGCCUUUGAUACUGUUAGUCUUGAAUUAUAUGGAAGUAGAUAGAAUGUGUAGUGUAGCGGUGAAAUGCUUAGAGAUUACACAGAAUACCGAUUGCGAAGGCAGUCUACUACGUAUAUAUG
rnacentral:rRNA from 1 species